UUAUAUGUUUAUAUUAAUAAUGUUUUCUGAAUCAUUGUUGGCUGCAAAGAUGAAGUUGACAUUGCUGACUCUCAUCAUCUCAGCAUAGUGGACGCGCUUAGAGAGAAAAUGCACAUUUCAUUUGGAUUACAUAAUCAGAGAAUAGACUAUUUCUUUUCGUUUUGAAUUAUUUUGUAUAAAAGUAGACAAUUCAAGCUUCCUAUAUAUAUUUCUCAUGUCUGCGAGGCAAGCAGCCUGUAUGCUGAGUUUCGGUUCAUUACGCACUCCAGUUCACGUGCAAGUGAACGCGCCGGCGCCUCCAUGUCAUGAUUAUAUUGUAUAUCUUAUGAUGUGUCUUAUCUUACUCAUGCUGUUCACUUUUCAUAAUCAAAUAGAUUAAAUUAAAAAAUAACACCACAAUCGCACGUUCCACCUGAGGAAUGUCCAAGUAACCCUUGGCGGCCCAACCAUCGAGGGUAUUGAGAGUGGAGGAGGCAGAAGAACGGUCUGGCAGUAAAGGUGCCUUCCACGUCUUCUGAACCUCCUCGUGCAUCUCUGGGAAGAAUGGCACUGUGGCUAAGAACCACGGCCCGCACCCAGAAACCAAUCAUCCAGCUGCGAGCGCUCUUGACAUGAUGGAGGGUUCAACUCGAGCCCGAUGCCCCCAGAUGACCAGGCAAGCAUGGCCAUUAACUUUGAAUCUGAUUCAGCCUGAAUGACCUCCCCGGAGGGCGGAAGUUUGGCUUGCAUACUCUCCGAUGCAGCGGUUGACAUCAGAUCCUCAUCCGGAGCACCAAAAGUGAUGCGGGGAACCUCCGAAGAGGGUCCCACGGCAGCAGAUGGCAACUCAACGGCACAUGGUGUGCUGGAGGAGUGGGAGGUACGUGGGGCCAGACCUGACGAAGAAACCCUCAGAUUUCCCAGAGUGCUAACCAGACUGGCAGUUUUUGAAGCCGCAGGCUGGGUAGCAACAGAGGGACUCGUACCUUUGUGUUAAAGAAGGAGAGACGCGAUCGCAACUCCAACAUGGACAUACUCUCACAGUGAGUUUGGCAUAUAGUUUGCAUAUAGUUUGUCUGUAGGCUUUGAUGGCUGUAAUAAUGUUGCUGCUGAGGUGACAGUAUUACCUCAAUUUGUAUCAUUUAUUUAUACAAUAAAUGUUCUUAAGAAGUGUCAUUAUUUUUGAAGUUCAGUUUUGUAAUAUUGUAAAUGUUGUCAGGUGAGAUCUGGUCAGGUUGUAAUGUAGCAGGAACAGGUGGAGUCAGUUUCACUUUCACAUUAGUUUUGGUCAAACACGUCUGAAGCGUCACAGACACUGAGAGAAUCAUCAUAUAAUCACCACAGGUACCAAAAGGCAAGACACAAUCUGCAGAUCAACCAUGUCAAAGACAUCGAUGGAGAUCCAUAAAUCACACAUGAGUGAAGAGAUGAAGCGUGAGGCUCUUCAGGUUGCUCUUCUGGCUGUGAAUAUGUACGAAAAGGGAAAUGACAUUGCUCUCUACAUCAAGAAGGAAUUUGACAGAAAGCAUGGGAAAUACUGGCACUGCAUUAUAGGGAAAUUUAGUGCCAGCGUGUCAUAUAACACAGACAGUUAUAUCAGCUUCUCUGUUGAUGGCAAAAACAUUUUGCUCUUCAAAACUGACUGAGGUUCAGCAACAGUUUAAACACAAUUUAUUUAAUCCACAUAAUUAAUAAAACG